ensembl:lncRNA
CACCGGUCUCCUCAUAUCAACUCCUCGUAGGUUGGCUACCAGCCACCUUGUAGAUCAAAACUGUCUUCCUAAGGGGGAACAGUCCUUCCCUGCACAGAAACACAAUUCCCCCUUUGCCUUAAUGUUGGGCUCUUCGUCUACACAAUACCAGAUACAUCGGAGAUUGCACCUCUCGCUACGAGCCACUACAGUAAUAAUCACCAUAAGAGGUACGCUAGUACAUUUUAUUUUUGACUUCCCGCUCCAUUUUGACCUUAUGUAUCGCAACCUCUAUCCCAAUACAUGUCAAAGUCUAAAUUUAACUGUGAAGUUCCUCCCUGGUCCUCUCCCCUCACCUGGCACAUUGUCCUUUUGCUGUUCUUGUCCUUUGACGUUUCGACUUAAAGGCCUCUGCCUCGCACUUUAACAGAAAAACUGUCUCAUCUCCUUUUUUGUGAGCGACUCCAUGUCUCAGAUCUGUUGCUGUGGGGCACAAGGCACAAUGUUAAAUUUGAAGUUGUGCUGUCCUGUCUGACCGUUGAUUGCAGAUGUGUUUGAGACAUAAGGAGGUCAGGCCUUCCACCAUCUCCCAUGUGAAACAUCCUUCAUUUGCCAUGAAUCUGGUUUUGGGACUCAGAAGGUGCCAAAGGGAAAGGUUUCAGGAGGUUUCACUUCACAUUGGUGUUCCCAAAUCGUUUCCAUGCAUUGGGUUAGAGGUCCGCAAUACUAUCCUUAUAGGAGAAAGGAGAAGACAAAACACUGCAUCAGUUUACCUAUUCUCCUGGGCCCUAACAUCUGGGCUACUGCCAUACUAAAAUAAUGUAUUAAUUAAUUUAAUAAGUAUUAAAGAGAUGGUGGGAUCAUUACUUAAAUGUCAGAAAAAUUAACAAACAACUGUUUCAGUUGUGUAAAAGUAUCCCAAAUAAUUCACAACACAUUUAAAACAAUUAUCAAUUUAGAUUUAAAACAACAAUAUGAAUGACCAGUGCCUAAUUAAAAUGUUCCUUAGUGUCCAAGUUGUUUCCACACAUGUGAAUGUUCUUGGUCAAUAGGUUCCAAAACACAAAAUCAGUAGUGUUUUUUUGUUGCUAUAAGAAUAUCAUUUUAAAAACGCUGUUUCAUAAGUCUCAAAAUGGGCAAAAAAACCAACAACAAAAUAAUACAAUUAGUACAAUAAUAAUGAAAAAAAAUAACCAAUAUAAUCAAGCGUUGCCGAGAACCAAACACAGAAUAGAUGUAAAGAAUGUAAACUCCCUUCUCAUCUCUGAUGUCCCCAUGUCCAGUCAAAUGGCUCCUGGCUGGUGUAGUCAUGGAUGUAGGAGCCUCUUUGUUCUAUGUGCCUCUCUCCAUUCUUCCACCCUCUCCUUGGCUGUGGUGUACCUGGAACUAUCAGUGUCCCAUAUUCUUAUUCUGACCCCAAGGCAGUCUGUCACAGGUCUGGGCUUGGUUUGGCCCUGGAAUCAUCUGGGCCACAGGUGUUAGAUACCCCUUCAUUGGACUUGGUGUAUCAGUGCUGCACGACUCAGGACUCCUUUGUGAGAAACAAAGAUAGAAUCUUGCACCACAGAAAGUUAAAACCUUGACCAGAAAGUUUAGCUGAAUUUAAAGCUUUGUGUUAACCAACCUUUUUAAACCCCAAUCUUUUCUUAAUGUAACAUCAAUGAUAAAAGUAACAAAAACUAAAACACC